rnacentral:rRNA from 1 species
UACGAAGGGUGCAAACGUUGCUCGGAAUCAUUGGGCGUAAAGCGCACGUAGGCGGCUUCGCAAGUCGGAUGUGAAAUCCCACGGCUCAACCAUGGACGUGCAUCCGAAACUGCAAGGCUUGAGUAUGGAAGAGGGUCGCGGAAUUCCCGGUGUAGAGGUGAAAUUCGUAGAUAUCGGGAGGAACACCAGUGGCGAAGGCGGCGACCUGGGGCCAAUAC